rnacentral:tRNA from 1 species
GAAACAUGAAACCCAAGAUAAAGCUUCUAACUUUAAUCUUAAGCAGCGCACCACUGUUUAUGUUUCU